CUGCAGCCCAGCAGCCGGGCUGGCGGCCGGGCGCAACGUGGAUGCCAGGCUGAGCUCGGGCUCUGACCUCUCCUGGGUGCCCGGAUCUGUAGGGCAGACUUCCCCCGGGAGGGGCGGCGGGCACAGCGCCGGGCCCACCCACACGAGAGCGCUUUGCUUCUUGCAAAACAGCGAGCUAAGCACGUCAACCGUUGGCAUCGGGACGGCAAUCAAAAUCAAGACCUUUUGGAGCCCGUCUUCUUGUACCCAGAGGGAAACUGAGGCCUGGACCCAGGCCUAAUUCCCGUCUGGCUUCUGAGCCAUUGCCAUGAGUCAGAAGCCAAGAGUUUCUUUUCGUUCCUUCUCGUGCAAUGAAACGGCACACAGUCCUGCGUGCUCCGCGGCUAAGGCAGCCCUGUCGCCCAGGGCGGACGCAGGAUGAGCCCCUAGUCCGCGCUCCGGGACUUUUCCGCUCUUUCUCGCCCAUCGCACGUCGAAAGAAGAUCUUUCAAAACCUUCGAGCGGCAAAUUGCAAUCCGAGAAAUGAAGCAAAGAGAAAAUGCUCCCCGAGCCAGUGGAUAUCUGUAACAGCAGGUUUCACUUAUAGCAAAGACCCUUCUCUUCGCCUUGUAAAGAACCAGGAGAUGACUCAUCAGUGGGCAGCAGUUGUUAAAAAAAAAAAAAAAAAGAAAGAAAGAAAAAGAAAGGAAAAAAAGGUAUAUGGCCAAAGAAUACAGAGUCCUUGUUCGAAAUGAAAGAGCUUUAAUAUAUUUAUAUUUAUCACUCUGGUUGCAUUUAUAAGAUCAUUGAAAUUCAAGACUGUCUCGUUUCGCUAGCAACGGGAGAGAGAGAACUGCUUCCCACAUGUGACUUUCUCUGAUAACCCAAGCUUUGUAUCCUUUGAAGCUCCAACACUUGUUAAAGUAGAAUCUUUUUUUUUUUUUUUUUUUUUUGAUAAAAAUUUCCUAAAUGUCACACGUGUUUUGCAGCCUUUUGGAGCAGGCUUUCCUGAAACAUAAUUGAGUCUUUGUUGAGGGUCAGCCCGUGUUCUGCUAACUCGUGGGGAGGGUCAGCGCUGCGGGCACUCUGGCAUUACACGGGCUGGGCUCACGGGACACUCUGCUGCUGUCACCAGAUGAAACCUGGGGUGGUUGCAAAUCCCUGGGCACAGCCCCGUCCCCAUCUGCAGCGAUGGGACAGAGUCUGUGGGCUCCGAGGGAUGCUGGGAGCGUUAGGGGACCUGCUGCGUACUUGAAGUGUUCCCUAUGAUGCUUGGGAGAUAGUAAGCAUUUUUUUAAGGGUAGUCAAGAAAAAGCGUGGAUAAUAACAUAAAUAAAAUGAAUAAGCAAAAUAAAAAUGUAAUGAAA
rnacentral:lncRNA from 1 species